rnacentral:rRNA from 1 species
GACAGAGGGUGCAAACGUUGUUCGGAAUCACUGGGCGUAAAGCGCACGUAGGCGGAUGUGUCAGUCAGGGGUGAAAUCCCGGAGCUCAACUCCGGAACUGCCUUUGAUACAGCACGUCUUGAGUCCGAGAGAGGUGGGUGGAAUUCCUAGUGUAGAGGUGAAAUUCGUAGAUAUUAGGAAGAACACCAGUGGCGAAGGCGGCCCACUGGCUCGGUACUGACGCUGAGGUGCGAAAGCGUGGGGAGCAAACAGG